GACGAACGCUGGCGGCGUGCUUAACACAUGCAAGUCGAACGGUAAGGCCCUUCGGGGUACACGAGUGGCGAACGGGUGAGUAACACGUGGGUGAUCUGCCCUGCACUUCGGGAUAAGCCUGGGAAACUGGGUCUAAUACCGGAUAGGACUCCUGCCUGCAUGGGUGGGGGUGGAAAGCUUUGGCGGUGUGGGAUGGGCCCGCGGCCUAUCAGCUUGUUGGUGGGGUGAUGGCCUACCAAGGCGACGACGGGUAGCCGGCCUGAGAGGGUGACCGGCCACACUGGGACUGAGAUACGGCCCAGACCCCUACGGGAGGCAGCAGUGGGGAAUAUUGCACAAUGGGCGCAAGCCUGAUGCAGCGACGCCGCGUGAGGGAUGACGGCCUUCGGGUUGUAAACCUCUUUCAGCACAGACGAAGCGCAAGUGACGGUAUGUGCAGAAGAAGGACCGGCCAACUACGUGCCAGCCGCCGCGGUAA
rnacentral:rRNA from 1 species